rnacentral:ncRNA from 2 species
AUCCAUGAAGAUGUGGAUAUAAACAAAUAAGAUGAGGAGACCCUAUGGAACUUUAAUUCAUUAAUGUAAAUAAAAACUCAAAAAAUCCUCCAGACCCUAGUGUACUAUCGCUGCAUUAAAAAUUUGGGUUAUGGUGACCUUGGACCAUAAUUUAAACUUUGCACAACCUAAACUAAGACUGCACUAGUCUAAGAGAGUUGACACACAUUGAUCCAAUAAUUUCAUCAAUGAAAUAAGUUACCCUAGAGAUAACAGCAUAAUCCUAUUCUAGAGUUUAUAUCAAGAAUAGGAUUAUGACCUAUUGACCUUCAUGUUUGAUAAGGACAUGCUAAUGGUGUAGCCAGUAUUAAGGAUUCUUUUGUUCAGUGAUUAAAGUCCUACAUGAUUUGAGUUCAGACCAGAGUAACCCAGGUCGGUUUCUAUCUAUUU